rnacentral:rRNA from 1 species
AGUGAACGCUGGCGGUAGGCCUAACACAUGCAAGUCGGACGGCAGCACAGUAAGAGCUUGCUCUUACGGGUGGCGAGUGGCGGACGGGUGAGGCAUACAUCGGAAUCUACUUUUUCGUGGGGGAUAACGUAGGGAAACUUACGCUAAUACCGCAUACGACCUACGGGUGAAAGCAGGGGAUCUUCGGACCUUGCGCGAUUGAAUGAGCCGAUGUCGGAUUAGCUAGUUGGCGGGGUAAGGGCCCACCAAGGCGACGAUCCGUAGCUGGUCUGAGAGGAUGAUCAGCCACACUGGAACUGAGACACGGUCCAGACUCCUACGGGAGGCAGCAGUGGGGAAUAUUGGACAAUGGGCGCAAGCCUGAUCCAGCCAUACCGCGUGGGUGAAGAAGGCCUUCGGGUUGUAAAGCCCUUUUGUUGGGAAAGAAAAGCAGCAGGUUAAUACCCCGCUGUUCUGACGGUACCCAAAGAAUAAGCACCGGCUAACUUCGUG